rnacentral:rRNA from 1 species
GUAGGUGGCAAGCGUUGUCCGGAAUUAUUGGGGCGUAAAGCGCGCGCAGGCGGUUCUUUAAGUCUGAUGUGAAAGCCCACGGGCUCAACCGUGGAAGGUCAUUGGAAACUGGAGAACUUGAGUACUGAAGAGGAAAGCGGAAUUCCACGUGUAGCGGUGAAAUGCGUAGAGAUGUGGAGGAACACCAGUGGCGAAGGCGGCUUUCUGGUCUGUAACUGACGCUGAGGCGCGAAAGCGUGGGGAGCAAACAGGAUUAGAUACCCUGGUAGUCCACGCCGUAAACGAUGAGUGCUAAGUGUUAGGGGGUUUCCGCCCCUUAGUGCUGCAGCUAACGCAUUAAGCACUCCGCCUGGGGAGUACGGCCGCAAAGGCUG